GGGGACCAGUAAAAGAUGUCUUGGCUCUGUGUAUGCCUAAAGAUGCAAAGCCACAACACUUCUGAUCAUCUUUAACAGCUUCAUUGAAGAAAGGUAAAUUAUGGAAGCUAUGUGGACAUCGCAUGUGUUAAGAGUUUUGUUGCUUUGGACUUCAAAAGAUUGUGCUAAGAAGAGGCUGAUAUGACUCUCCAACAGUAUUUACUUAA
rnacentral:lncRNA from 1 species